rnacentral:rRNA from 1 species
UACGUAGGGGGCAAGCGUUGUCCGGAUUUAUUGGGCGUAAAGAGCGUGUAGGCGGCCAGGUAGGUCAGCUGUGAAAACUCGAGGCUCAACCUCGAGACGUCGGUUGAAACCACCUGGCUAGAGUCCGGAAGAGGAGAGUGGAAUUCCUGGUGUAGCGGUGAAAUGCGCAGAUAUCAGGAAGAACACCGGUGGCGAAGGCAGGUCUCUGGGCCACUACUGACGCUGAGAAGCGAAAGCAUGGGGAGCGAACAGG